UCGCAGGCUGCAACCCGCCUGCGUGAAGUCGGAAUCGCUAGUAAUCGCGGAUCAGCAUGCCGCGGUGAAUACGUUCCCGGGCCUUGUACACACCGCCCGUCACACCAUGAGAGUCGGGAACACCCGAAGCCCGUAGCCUAACUUUAACGAGAGGGCGCGGUCGAAGGUGGGUUCGAUAAUUGGGGUGAAGUCGUAACAAGGUAAC
rnacentral:rRNA from 1 species